rnacentral:rRNA from 1 species
UACGUAGGGUGCGAGCGUUUAAUCGGAAUUACUGGGCGUAAAGCGUGCGCAGGCGGUUCGUUGUGUCGGUGGUGAAAUCCCCGGGCUUAACCUGGGAAUGGCCUGGAAACUGGCGAACUGGAGUGCGGCAGAGGGGGGUGGAAUUCCGCGUGUAGCAGUGAAAUGCGUAGAGAUGCGGAGGAACACCGAUGGCGAAGGCAGCCCCCUGGGCUAGCACUGACGCCUCAGGCACGAAAGCGUGGGGAGCAAACAGG